GACGAACGCUGGCGGCGUGCUUAACACAUGCAAGUCGAACGCAAAGGCCCUGCAUUUGUGGGGUGCUCAAGUGGCGAACGGGUGAGUAACACGUGAGUAACCUGCCCUUUACUUUGGGAUAACUUCAGGAAACUGGGGCUAAUACCGGAUAGGAGCUCCUGCUACAUGGUGGGGGUUGGAAAGUUUCGGCGGUUGGGGAUGGAAUCGCGGCUUAUCAGCUUGUUGGUGGGGUAGUGGCUUACCAAGGCUUUGACGGGUAGCCGGCCUGAGAGGGUGACCGGCCACAUUGGGACUGAGAUACGGCCCAGACGCCUACGGGAGGCAGCAGUGGGGAAUAGUGCACAAUGGGCGGAAGCCUGAUGCAGCAACGCCGCGUGCGGGAUGACGGCCUUCGGGUUGUAAACCGCGUUCGCCUGUGACGAAGCGUGAGUGACGGUAAUGGGUAAAGAAGCACCGGCUAACUACGUG
rnacentral:rRNA from 1 species